AGGACUUGUGGUUGGACAUGGUAUAGUUGGAUUUGUGUGUGGUUCUGCAACAAAGAAGAUGCAUUCCAAGCAGGUUGCAUAACAUAAAAGCAGGUGUGGUUUGUGAAGAUGGAGGGAGAGCAUCCUCAUGAGGAGAAGCAGACUGAAACUGCUUGCUGUGCAUCCCAAUGUCCCAAAGAUGGAGAGGAGAGGCAGGGACAAGGGGCUAUGUUAUGGUCCAUCCAGGAGGCAGUGGAGAGGCAGACCAUGCAGAUAGGAACGUCCGCCUGUGGGGCAACGGCCGUAGUGGACGUCCUACAGGCCCUCGGCAUCGUUGUGGCACCCGAGACGGCUGACCGGUGUGUGCGGACGUGCCUGAGGAGGAACGAGGCGCCGCUGCCUGAUUACCUGUUCUCCCGGAGCGAGGCUGGCGCCACACACGCACAGCUGAUAGCUGGGGCGGAGCAGGCUAGUGGUGGGCGCGUGCUGGGUCGCCACUUCCCCCUCCACCCUCGCCGGCGGGUGAGGCUGGUACCCUGGCUGGCACAGUGGAUCCAGAAAGGGGCAGUUCCCGUGGCCACCAUGAACAUGCAGCUGGCAGUGCCAGAGGGAGAGGAGGUUCCCGACGCAUGGCACCACCAACUCAUCUUUGGGGUCGGACCCGACACUGUCUAUAUGACCAAUCCCCUGGAUGUGGUGAGUGAGCGGGAGGUGCAUCAGCGACUCUGCAGUGAAUCUGUGUUGCUGAUACGUCGAGAGGAUGUGCUGCUGAGAUUGACAGCUGACGCCCCUCUGUCUAGCCUAUCGGACGACCAGUCUGACCCACGCUGGAAAGCCCUGGAUGUGGAGGGUCAAUUGAGGCAGAUGAUUCGUGAGGAAGACCAUGAUGAUGAAGAUCAGUUUAGGAUGAGCCAUGUCAUGAUCCCCGCAGCGUACAGUUCAGGUGUGACAGUCUUCGCCCUCAGAGAUUCAGACCAAGGACAGGAGCUUCUCCACGCCCCUGAACUCCCUUUGCUUUGAUAUGGCUGGACAGUGGACACAUCAUUACCAAAGAUCUUGCGGUGAUUGGACAAUGCAUCUUUGACCUUCCCACUAUUGUUACAUUUAUUCGGUGAGGGGAAAUGUUCAGAAACUGGUGAUAGAAAUGUCAUUAAUAGAGCUGACAUGGUUCCUUAUUCUACAGGUAAGAGAGGCUUGGCUGUUCUACAUAAUAUAUUUCUAUCUGAACAUCCCACAAUGUUGCACCCUGCUGAAUGUGCCCCAGGCGUAUUCAGUGAGGUGAAACACUCAAAAACUGAUAUAAACUAUAGAAUUGAUAGAGCUGACUCAAUUUCCUAUUCAGACAACUCAUGAUUCUGAUAUGUCUAUCUAUAAUAUUGGCCAGUCAUGUUGUACACAAUACAUUUUUAUCUGAACGUUCAGUAACGUCACUCCGACCUGAACGAGGCCCUGCUGCUGUACAGUAGGAUAUCCGUCCCUGACAGUAAUACCUUGUUUGAACACUUUUCUGGGUCGUAUUCACUGACAUCAAGCAGAAGAAAAUUAACCGAAACAGGAAGUGACUCCCUGAACUUACCCAAUAAGAAACAUUCAUUUUCCUUUUCCAUUAAAUAACGUUUUGCUACAGUAUGCACUAAUGAAUACGACCCUGAUCUUAUGUGUGUGACGUUAAGAAUAGCCUACUUGAUGUAUGCCCCUGCACCAGUGGAGGCUGCUGAGUGGAGAACGGCCCGUAAUAAUAGCUGGAACUGCGCAAAUAGAAUGGCAUCAAACACAUAGAAACCAUGUGUUUGAUGUAUUUCAUACUAUUCCACUAAUUCCGCUCCAGUCAUUACCAAGGGCCCGUCCCCCCCAAUUAAGGUGCAACCACCCCCUGUGCCCUGCACAUUGAAAUGGUUGCACAGUUUGAAACCCUUUCUACUGCAGCAGGACAAUCAACCCUAAUGCGCCACUCUGUGCAAUACCAGAUAAGCUAAAUCAUGUGGCACUGGAAUGUAAAUGUGAUGUUGUGCUCAUCUACACAGAUACAGAUUAGGUAUAUAUCUGAGUGUGCUCAUGAUUUGCAGUUUUCUGUGGUCAAGAUUUUUGGCUACAACUUAUUUGGCCAGUUUCCCAGACACAGAUUAAGCCUGGUCCUUGACUAAGAAUGAUGUUCAAUGGAGAUUCUCCAUUAACAGUAGCAGUUGAGUCCAGGACUAGGCUUGAUCUGUGUCCAGGAAACCAACCAAAUAUGAAAUUAUGUUUAAAUCAAUCAAUGUGUAUCUGUUGUCGUUCCAGGUUGUGAUGUUUGUCAUGUUAACUCCCUUUUAUUUGUAAGCUAUCAAAAUACAUAAAGAGGGUCGCACGAUCUACAUAUAAAAACUCCCAGUCAUUUCUUGGGUGAAACACCAAGGUUUCUGCAU
rnacentral:lncRNA from 1 species